rnacentral:rRNA from 1 species
UACGAAGGGGGCUAGCGUUGCUCGGAAUCACUGGGCGUAAAGGGUGCGUAGGCGGGUUUUUAAGUCAGAGGGGAAAUCCUGGAGCUCAACUCCAGAACUGCCUUUGAUACUGAAAGUCUUGAGUAUGGGAGAGGUGAGUGGAACUGCGAGUGUAGAGGUGAAAUUCGUAGAUAUUCGCAAGAACACCAGUGGCGAAGGCGGCUCACUGGCCCAUAACUGACGCUGAGGCACGAAAGCGUGGGGAGCAAACAGG